rnacentral:rRNA from 1 species
GAUGCUUCUUCUUUUCAGUAGCCCAUUCCAUAAGAACUCCACAGUUAAGCGUGCUUGACUUGAAAUAGUACUAGGAUGGGUGACCUACUGAGAAGUUUCCCGAUAAGCGUGC